CAAAGAUCCAGAGGAGCCUCCAAUGAAUGAAAAGAAGCUCUGACAACAAUUUCACAUAGACAGGUUGGUUCAUCACUUUUCGAGAUCAUGCAGCCUACUGGAGUGGGGAGCCAGGCCCAGUCCUAUUGACAGGAGCCACAGGAGCGGCUGCUGUGGGCAUCUGGUUGUGGAUACUCUUAGGAUACUGGAAGGACUACUGGUUUGAUCCAGUAAGGCAAUUUGUACAUUCCUGUACUGUGUGGAGUCUACACAGCCAACUAUACAGUGGAUGAAAUCAAUGGGAGUUUUGACAUGGACUUCAAUGGGGUCAGCGUUUCAUGUGCUGUCGCCUCUGGAGAUGGCUCUUGGUCUGAUCCUUAGAAGAUGAAUGCUACUAGCAAAGCUACAAGGAUUAUGCCUGUUUUUGGCAAAGAUUUUUAUAUAAUGAAGUCCAGAACACAGCAAACAGUUGGGAGAAAACAUUCCUUGAGAUGGUAUAUUAGUUACACAUAUAAUGUCACAACAUUAUUUGAUGUGUGUUUGGGUUUGUGUGUGCAUCUGUUCUGCUAUAAAACAUCAUAGAUCAAAAUGUAGAGAAGAACAAGUAAAGCCUUGCUAAAGUUUUCUAGAAAAAAACACU